rnacentral:rRNA from 1 species
AUGAACGCUGGCGGCGUGCCUAACACAUGCAAGUCGAGCGAGAAGCUUUUAACGGACGCUUCGGUUGAAGUUAAGAGUGGAAAGCGGCGGACGGGUGAGUAACGCGUAGGCAACCUGCCCCUUGCAGAGGGAUAGCCUCGGGAAACCGGGAUUAAAACCACAUAAAUCCUUUUUAUCGCAUGAUAGAGAGGACAAAGAUUUAUCGGCAAGGGAUGGGCCUGCGUCUGAUUAGUUAGUUGGUGGGGUAACGGCCUACCAAGGCGACGAUCAGUAGCCGACCUGAGAGGGUGAACGGCCACAUUGGAACUGAGACACGGUCCAAACUCCUACGGGAGGCAGCAGUGGGGAAUCUUGCACAAUGGGCGAAAGCCUGAUGCAGCAACGCCGCGUGAGCGAAGAAGGCCUUUGGGUCGUAAAGCUCUGUCGGUAGGGAAGAAGGAAGUGACGGUACCUACCGAGGAAGCCCCGGCUAACUACGUGCCAGCAGCCGCGGUAAUACGUAGGGGGCGAGCGUUAUCCGGAAUUAUUGGGCGUAAAGAGUACGUAGGCGGUUUUUUAAGCGAGGGGUAUAAGGCAGCGGCUUAACUGCUGUUGGCCCCUCGAACUGGAGGACUUGAGUGUCGGAGAGGAAAGCGGAAUUCCUAGUGUAGCGGUGAAAUGCGUAGAGAUUAGGAGGAACACCAGUGGCGAAGGCGGCUUUCUGGACGACAACUGACGCUGAGGUACGAAAGCGUGGGGAGCAAACAGGAGUAGAUACCCUGGUAGUCCACGCCGUAAACGAUGAGCACUAGGUGUCGGGUUCGCAAGAAUUCGGUGCCGGAGUUAACGCAAUAAGUGCUCCGCCUGGGGAGUACGCACGCAAGUGUGAAACUCAAAGGAAUUGACGGGGACCCGCACAAGCAGUGGAGUAUGUGGUUUAAUUCGACGCAACGCGAAGAACCUUACCAAGACUUGACAUAUACAUGAAAGCCUAAGAGAUUAGGCCCCUCUUCGGAGCGUGUAUACAGGUGAUGCAUGGUUGUCGUCAGCUCGUGUCGUGAGAUGUUGGGUUAAGUCCCGCAACGAGCGCAACCCUUGUCAUUAGUUGCCAGCAGUAAGAUGGGGACUCUAAUGAGACUGCCGUGGAUAACACGGAGGAAGGUGGGGAUGACGUCAAAUCAUCAUGCCCCUUAUGUCCUGGGCUACACACGUGCUACAAUGGUCGGAACAGAGAGAGGCGAGACCGCGAGGUGGAGCAAAACUCAAAAACCGAUCCCAGUUCGGAUUGCAGGCUGCAACCCGCCUGCAUGAAGUCGGAGUUGCUAGUAAUCGCAGAUCAGAAUGCUGCGGUGAAUGCGUUCCCGGGUCUUGUACACACCGCCCGUCACACCAUGGAAGUUGGGGGCGCCCGAAGUUGGCCGGCAAAUAGGCUGCCUAAGGUGAAACCAAUGACUGGGGUG